AAUUCGUGCCAGCAGCCGCGGUAAUACGAAUGUGGCAAGCGUUGUUCGGAAUCACUGGGCAUAAAGCGCACGUAGGCGGCGCAGUAAGUUAAUUUGUGAAAUCCCCCCGGCUCACCGGGGGAAUUGCGGUUAAUACUGCUGUGCUAGAGUAUGGAAGGGGAGAGUGGAAUUCUGGGUGUAGCGGUGGAAUGCGAAGAUAUCCAGGAGAAGGCCGGUAGCGAAAGCGACUCUCUGGUCCAAUACUGACGCUGAGGUGCGAAAGUGUAGGUAGCGAACGGGAUUAGAUACCCCGGUAGUCUACACCGUAAACGAUGAGCACUAGGUGGUGGAAACGCCGAUAGUUUUCUCCGCCGAAGCUAAUGCAUUAAGUGCUCCGCCUGGGGAGUAUGGUCGCAAGAUUAAAACUCAAAGGAAUUGACGGGGGCCCACACAAGCGGUGGAGGAUGCGGCUUAAUUCGAGGACACGCGUAGAACCUUACCGAGGCUUGACAUGCAGGGAUUAACCAGAUGAAAGUCUGGGGAUUGCCUUACGGUGUAACCUGCACAGGUGCUGCAUGGCUGUCGACAGUUCGUGUCGUGGGAUGUUAGGUUAAGUCCUGUAACGAGCGAAACCCCUGUGCUUAAUUGCCAGCGCGUUAUGGCGGGGACCUUAAGCAGACUGCCCCGGCCAACGGGGAGGAAGGUGGGGAUGACGUCAAGUCAGCAUGGCCCUUAUGCCUCGGGCUGCACGCGUCCUACAAUGGGCUGUAUAAUGAGUUCCGAUCCCGCGAGGGGGAGGCAAUCUUCAAAGCAGUCCUCAGUUCGGAUUGCAGGCUGAAACUCGCCUGCAUGAAGGUGGAAUCGCUAGUAAUCGCCGGUCAGCUAUACGGCGGUGAAUACGUCCCUGGGCCUUGUACACACCGCCCGUCAAGCCACCCGAGUUGGGCGCGCUCGAAGUCCGAGACUCAACCUGCUGCAGGAGAGAUCGGCCGAA
rnacentral:rRNA from 1 species